GCUCUGGGGCAGGCCGGAAGACUUGUGAUUUUGUUGUUUCCAAUCUCAGAGGGAGCAAACAACAAAUCCCAGUCGCUGUCCUGCCCCAGGAA
rnacentral:pre_miRNA from 1 species